GGGUUGUGAGGUUAAGCGACUAAGCGUACACGGUGGAUGCCCUGGCAGUCAGAGGCGAUGAAGGACGUGCUAAUCUGCGAAAAGCGUCGGUAAGGUGAUAUGAACCGUUAUAACCGGCGAUGUCCGAAUGGGGAAACCCAGUGCAAUUCGUUGCACUAUCGUUAACUGAAUACAUAGGUUAACGAGGCGAACCGGGGGAACUGAAACAUCUAAGUACCCCGAGGAAAAGAAAUCAACCGAGAUUCCCCCAGUAGCGGCGAGCGAACGGGGAGCAGCCCAGAGUCUGAAUCAGCUUGUGUGUUAGUGGAACGGUCUGGAAAGUCCGACGGUACAGGGUGAUAGUCCCGUACACCAAAAUGCACAGGCUGUGAACUCGAAGAGUAGGGCGGGACACGUGGUAUCCUGUCUGAAUAUGGGGGGACCAUCCUCCAAGGCUAAAUACUCCUGACUGACCGAUAGUGAACCAGUACCGUGAGGGAAAGGCGAAAAGAACCCCGGCGAGGGGAGUGAAAAAGAACCUGAAACCGUGUACGUACAAGCAGUGGGAGCACCUUCGGGUGUGACUGCGUACCUUUUGUAUAAUGGGUCAGCGACUUAUAUUCUGUAGCAAGGUUAACCGUAUAGGGGAGCCGCAGGGAAACCGAGUCUUAACUGGGCGUUAAGUUGCAGGGUAUAGACCCGAAACCCGGUGAUCUAGCCAUGGGCAGGUUGAAGGUUGGGUAACACUAACUGGAGGACCGAACCGACUAAUGUUGAAAAAUUAGCGGAUGACUUGUGGCUGGGGGUGAAAGGCCAAUCAAACCGGGAGAUAGCUGGUUCUCCCCGAAAGCUAUUUAGGUAGCGCCUCGUGAACUCAUCUUCGGGGGUAGAGCACUGUUUCGGCUAGGGGGUCAUCCCGACUUACCAACCCGAUGCAAACUACGAAUACCGAAGAAUGUUAUCACGGGAGACACACGGCGGGUGCUAACGUCCGUCGUGAAGAGGGAAACAACCCAGACCGCCAGCUAAGGUCCCAAAGUCAUGGUUAAGUGGGAAACGAUGUGGGAAGGCACAGACAGCCAGGAUGUUGGCUUAGAAGCAGCCAUCAUUUAAAGAAAGCGUAAUAGCUCACUGGUCGAGUCGGCCUGCGCGGAAGAUGUAACGGGGCUAAACCAUGCACCGAAGCUGCGGCAGCGACACUAUGUGUUGUUGGGUAGGGGAGCGUUCUGUAAGCCUGCGAAGGUGUGCUGUGAGGCAUGCUGGAGGUAUCAGAAGUGCGAAUGCUGACAUAAGUAACGAUAAAGCGGGUGAAAAGCCCGCUCGCCGGAAGACCAAGGGUUCCUGUCCAACGUUAAUCGGGGCAGGGUGAGUCGACCCCUAAGGCGAGGCCGAAAGGCGUAGUCGAUGGGAAACAGGUUAAUAUUCCUGUACUUGGUGUUACUGCGAAGGGGGGACGGAGAAGGCUAUGUUAGCCGGGCGACGGUUGUCCCGGUUUAAGCAUGUAGGCUGGUUAUCCAGGCAAAUCCGGAUAAUCAAGGCUGAGGUGUGAUGACGAGGCACUACGGUGCUGAAGUAACAAAUGCCCUGCUUCCAGGAAAAGCCUCUAAGCAUCAGGUAACAUCAAAUCGUACCCCAAACCGACACAGGUGGUCAGGUAGAGAAUACCAAGGCGCUUGAGAGAACUCGGGUGAAGGAACUAGGCAAAAUGGUGCCGUAACUUCGGGAGAAGGCACGCUGGUGUGUAGGUGAAGUCCCUGCGGAUGGAGCUGAGACCAGUCGAAGAUACCAGCUGGCUGCAACUGUUUAUUAAAAACACAGCACUGUGCAAACACGAAAGUGGACGUAUACGGUGUGACGCCUGCCCGGUGCCGGAAGGUUAAUUGAUGGGGUUAUCCGUAAGGAGAAGCUCUUGAUCGAAGCCCCGGUAAACGGCGGCCGUAACUAUAACGGUCCUAAGGUAGCGAAAUUCCUUGUCGGGUAAGUUCCGACCUGCACGAAUGGCGUAAUGAUGGCCAGGCUGUCUCCACCCGAGACUCAGUGAAAUUGAACUCGCUGUGAAGAUGCAGUGUACCCGCGGCAAGACGGAAAGACCCCGUGAACCUUUACUAUAGCUUGACACUGAACAUUGAGCCUUGAUGUGUAGGAUAGGUGGGAGGCUUUGAAGCGUGGACGCCAGUCUGCGUGGAGCCAACCUUGAAAUACCACCCUUUAAUGUUUGAUGUUCUAACGUUGGCCCCUGACCGGGGUUGCGGACAGUGUCUGGUGGGUAGUUUGACUGGGGCGGUCUCCUCCCAAAGCGUAACGGAGGAGCACGAAGGUUAGCUAAUCCUGGUCGGACAUCAGGAGGUUAGUGCAAUGGCAUAAGCUAGCUUGACUGCGAGCGUGACGGCGCGAGCAGGUGCGAAAGCAGGUCAUAGUGAUCCGGUGGUUCUGAAUGGAAGGGCCAUCGCUCAACGGAUAAAAGGUACUCCGGGGAUAACAGGCUGAUACCGCCCAAGAGUUCAUAUCGACGGCGGUGUUUGGCACCUCGAUGUCGGCUCAUCACAUCCUGGGGCUGAAGUAGGUCCCAAGGGUAUGGCUGUUCGCCAUUUAAAGUGGUACGCGAGCUGGGUUUAGAACGUCGUGAGACAGUUCGGUCCCUAUCUGCCGUGGGCGCUGGAGAAUUGAGGGGGGCUGCUCCUAGUACGAGAGGACCGGAGUGGACGCAUCACUGGUGUUCGGGUUGUCAUGCCAAUGGCACUGCCCGGUAGCUAAAUGCGGAAGAGAUAAGUGCUGAAAGCAUCUAAGCACGAAACUUGCCCCGAGAUGAGUUCUCCCUGAGAC
rnacentral:rRNA from 1 species